AACAUGAUUGAUAAGGGUGACACCGUUUCAGACAUCAGACGGCUACCGCCGCAGAGGGUUAUAGGAGAUCAAGGAUGAGUAACUCGAGUCAGAAUAAGCCGUUGAGACUCGGAUGAACUCCCCU
rnacentral:sRNA from 1 species